GGAAGUAAGAGUCGUAACAAGGGCUCCGUAGGUGAACCUGCGGAGGGAUCAUUACAGAGUUCUCGCCCUUACGGGUAGAUCUCCCACCCACUGUUAUCGUUACUGUCGUUUCUUUGGCGGGCCGCCGGGUCCCCGGCCGCCGGCGCCUAGCUGCCGGCGCGCGCCCGCCAGAGGCCUUCAAACUCUGAAUGUUAGUGUCGUCUGAGUACUAUAUAAUAGUUAAAACUUUCAACAACGGAUCUCUUGGUUCUG
rnacentral:misc_RNA from 1 species